UACGUAGGGACCGAGCGUUGUCCGGAAUCAUUGGGCGUAAAGAGCGUGUAGGCGGCUAUUUAAGUCCUGCGUGAAAUCCUGCGGCUCAACCGCAGACGGUCGUGGGAAACUGGAUGGCUAGAGUGCGGGAGAGGAGAGUGGAAUUCCGGUGUAGCGGUGAAAUGCGCAGAUAUCGGGAAGAACACCCGUGGCGAAGGCGGCUCUCUGGAACGCAACUGACGCUGAGACGCGAAAGCGUGGGGAGCAACAGG
rnacentral:rRNA from 1 species